rnacentral:rRNA from 1 species
CCCAGUUCAGGGAGGUAGUGACAAUAAAUACCUUACAGAGGUCUCGUUAACCGAGAUCUCUCAAACGGAAUGAGUACAACGUGAAUCCUUUAACGAGGAUCGACUGGAGGGCAAGCCUGGUGCCAGCAGCCGCGGUAAUUCCAGCUCCAGUAGCGUAUAUUAAAGCUGUUGCGGUUAAAAAGCUCGUAGUUGGAUAUCAGUGCGUGUCCGGUCCGGUAUGCCUGGCGGUGGCGCUCGCGCGUCGCUGCUGGGCUCCCAAAUAUCGGCUGGCCGCAUUCAAUCGUGCCGGAUCCGUCGACGGGCCGUUCUACGGAGGGGCCUGUUGGCGACCGGCGACGUUACCUUGAACAAAUUAGAGUGCUCAAAGCAGGCUCUGAAUGCCUGUAUACAUAUUCAUGGAAUUGGAGAAUACGUCCCUGGCUCGAUUUGGUUGGUUUUGAGAGUCGAAGGGAAAUGAUUAAUAGGGACUGACGGAGGCAUUCGUAUUGCGACGCGAGGGGUGAAAUCCUGUGACCGUCGCACGACGAACUACUGCGAAAGCAUUUGCCGAGAAUGUUUUCAUUAGUCAAGAACGAAAGUUAGAGGUUCGAAGGCGAUCAGAUACCGCCCUAGUUCUAACCGUAAACGAUGUCGACCAGCAAUCCGCAACGGUCACUACACGGACUGUGCGGGCAGCUUCCCCGGGGAAACCAGAGUUUUUGGACUCCGGGGGAAGUAUGGUUGCAAAGCUGAAACUUAAAGGAAUUGACGGAAGGGCACCACCAGGAGUGGAGCUUGCGGCUUAAUUUGACUCAACACGGGACAACUCACCAGGCCCGGACACCGUAAGGAUUGACAGACUGAUAGCUCUCUCUUGAUUCAGUGGGUGGUGGUGCAUGGCCGUUCUUAGUUGGUGGAGUGAUUUGUCUGGUUUAUUCCGAUAACGAACGAGACUCUGGCCUAUUAAACUUGACGCUGUCAGUCUCUUGUGACUGCGGCGCGCUUCUUAGAGGGAUCAUCGGCGUCCCAGCCGAAGGAAAGGGAGCAAUAACAGGUCUGUGAUGCCCUUAGAUGUUCUGGGCUGCACGCGUGUUACACUGAAGUGGUCAGCGCGCCGUUCAACGUCCCUCUCCGUGAGGAGCGGGCAAACGUUUGAACCCUUUUCGUGAUGGGAAUUGGGGGUUGCAAUUGUCCCCCAUGAACGAGGAAUUCCAAGUAAGCGCAAGUCACUAGCUUGCGUUGAUUAAGUCCCUGCCCUUUGUACACACCGCCCGUCGCUACUACCGAUGGAUGAUUUGGUGAGGUCGCCUA